CCUGGCUGUCUCAGUAGCUGUCAGAAGUAUUUUGAAAAGUGUAGAUUUCCUUUGUAAAUGGGAUUUGUUGCUGUUGAUACUACAAGUCUGAAGUCCUCACCUAGAGAUAUGUAAAAUGCAUUUCUCUGGAACUCACUUCCCUUAUCUGUAAAGUGCAUUGUACUAUUUACCUUGCAAGGCUGACAUAUAAGGAUGAAAGGAGAUAAUUCAUAUAAAGACCUUAAUACCUUCAUAGCACCAGAUACGUGUGAGGUACAAAAAGCCAAGGUAAGAUGAGUAAAAAGCUGGUCUCUGACUGAGAAAGUCUGAUCUCUCUCACCCUGGCUCUGUGACCCUGGGAAAUCACGUCACCUGUCAGGGUUCCAGGCAACUUUGUAGGACUCUCAGUUGCAGGGAAGGUGCGUUGGUAGAAUUUCUCAGCGAGACCUUGAAGUCAGGGUCCUUUCCCUUUCUCCCAUAAAUGUGAGCUGUUUUUACAGCCUAAGGCUCCCGAGCACAGAAUUCAUGGGAGACAGAGAAAUAUUCCCUUGGGUCUUAAUGGAACAACCCAGUGAAUCUGGACACUUUAGUGUUUCCUGAGUGCCCUCUCUUCAAUAUCAGGGAGCUGACCAUUCAUCUGAAGAGCAGGCACUUUUUGGAGGAUUUGCUCCGAGGCCUCAGUAUCCUGGAAAUCCUGGAAAUGGUCCAUUUCUUGGAGGACCUUCAUAUCCUCCAUAUGGUGGAUAUGGGCCAAAUCCUGGAAAUCCCCCAUAUUAAGAAAUCCCCAAAAUGUCCCCCAAAGAGGACCUCAAUAAACACAGCUUUGCCUGGAAGACUGACUCAAGCUGUCUUUGUGAAUCUCUCUAUCUGCCUAGUUAUCAGCCUCUAUUAUUGAGCAUUAGAUAGUAGCUCCAACCUUGUUAGAUUAACAUGAAUCAUUCUUCCAAAGGACUAAUGCUCUCCUUUACACUCCCCAUAUAAUAAAUUCAGCUCACAGCUUAUUGAAUCUCUGUCG
rnacentral:lncRNA from 1 species